CCAAGGCGCACGCUGCUCCUUUCCUCUCUGCUGGAGACAUUUUUCCGUCUCGCUCAGCGUUUCCACCCGCCGGCGCUCAGGCCAGCCAGCAGCCGCCUGGCCUCUGGUGAACCCCUCUCCGUGCCCCCUCCUUGGAAAGCCUCUGGCCUCUGCGCCCUCUCCCCGUGGCACAAGCUUACCGGACUCGGGAGCCAAGCACCUGCUGGCUCCCGUGAGCUUUUCUUGUUGGAGCGCCUCUAAAAUCAGUAGAAUGGAGACUCAAAGCCGGGUCAUCUGAUGCCAACUCCACUGCUCUUCUGCUGGGUCACAGCACGGGUCUCAGCAUGGAAAAUUAUAG
rnacentral:lncRNA from 1 species